rnacentral:rRNA from 1 species
GACGAACGCUGGCGGCGUGCCUAAUACAUGCAAGUAGAACGCUGAAGGAGGAGCUUGCUUCUCCGGAUGAGUUGCGAACGGGUGAGUAACGCGUAGGUAACCUGCCUGGUAGCGGGGGAUAACUAUUGGAAACGAUAGCUAAUACCGCAUAACAGUAGAUAUUGCAUGAUAUCUGCUUGAAAGGUGCAAUUGCAUCACUACCAGAUGGACCUGCGUUGUAUUAGCUAGUUGGUGGGGUAACGGCUCACCAAGGCGACGAUACAUAGCCGACCUGAGAGGGUGAUCGGCCACACUGGGACUGAGACACGGCCCAGACUCCUACGGGAGGCAGCAGUAGGGAAUCUUCGGCAAUGGACGGAAGUCUGACCGAGCAACGCCGCGUGAGUGAAGAAGGUUUUCGGAUCGUAAAGCUCUGUUGUAAGAGAAGAACGAGUGUGAGAGUGGAAAGUUCACACUGUGACGGUAUCUUACCAGAAAGGGACGGCUAACUACGU